rnacentral:rRNA from 1 species
GAUGAACGCUGGCGGCGUGCCUAAUACAUGCAAGUCGAGCGAAUGGAUUAAGAGCUUGCUCUUAUGAAGUUAGCGGCGGACGGGUGAGUAACACGUGGGUAACCUGCCCAUAAGACUGGGAUAACUCCGGGAAACCGGGGCUAAUACCGGAUAAUAUUUUGAACUGCAUGGUUCAACAUGGAAAGGCGGCUUCGGCUGUCACUUAUGGAUGGACCCGCGUCGCAGUAGCUAGUUGGUGAGGUAACGGCUCACCAAGGCAACGAUGCGUAGCCGACCUGAGAGGGUGAUCGGCCACACUGGGACUGAGACACGGCCCAGACUCCUACGGGAGGCAGCAGUAGGGAAUCUUCCGCAAUGGACGAAAGUCUGACGGAGCAACGCCGCGUGAGUGAUGAAGGCUUUCGGGUCGUAAAACUCUGUUGUUAGGGAAGAACAAGUGCUAGUUGAAUAAGCUGGCACCUUGACGGUACCUAACCAGAAAGCCACGGCUAACUACGUGCCAGCCGCCGCAGUAA